rnacentral:rRNA from 1 species
UUCCUACGGGGGGCAGCAGUGAGGAAUAUUGGUCAAUGGCCGCAGGGCUGAACCAGCCAAGUCGCGUGAGGGAUGACGGUCCUAUGGAUUGUAAACCUCUUUUGCCGGGGAGCAACGGGCGUCACGUGUGGCGCCACUGAGAGUACCCGGAGAAAAAGCAUCGGCUAACUCCGUGCCAGCAGCCGCGGUAAUACGGAGGAUGCGAGCGUUAUCCGGAUUUAUUGGGUUUAAAGGGUGCGUAGGCGGAUCGUUAAGUCAGUGGUCAAAUUGAGGGGCUCAACCCCUUCCCGCCAUUGAAACUGGCG